AGGAACUUAGGGCUACAUUAAACCAAAGACCUUCAAAGCCUUUAAUAAGAGUACCCACCCUCUUAGUUCCUG
rnacentral:tRNA from 1 species